CUCAUGUUGUGGCCCUCAAGUGGGGAAAGAUUUUCUGUUUUCUGAUGGAGAAAGUGCUUCCCUUUUGAAUGUCUCUGUUUGAG
rnacentral:pre_miRNA from 1 species